rnacentral:rRNA from 1 species
CAAGCGGUGGAGCAUGUGGUUUAAUUCGACGCAACGCGAAGAACCUUACCUGGGCUCGAAAUGUACCGGAAUCCGGCAGAAACGUCGGCGUCUAGCAAUAGACCGGUAUAUAGGUGCUGCAUGGCUGUCGUCAGCUCGUGUCGUGAGAUGUUGGGUUAAGUCCCGCAACGAGCGCAACCCUUAUCUCCAGUUGCUACCAUUUAGUUGAGCACUCUGGCGAAACCGCCUCGGAUAACGGGGAGGAAGGUGGGGAUGACGUCAAGUCCUCAUGGCCUUUAUGUCCAGGGCUACACACGUGCUACAAUGGCCGGUACAAACCGCUGCAAACCCGCGAGGGGGAGCUAAUCGGAAAAAGCCGGCCUCAGUUCGGAUUGGAGUCUGCAACUCGACUCCAUGAAGCUGGAAUCGCUAGUAAUCGUGGAUCAGCAUGCCACGGUGAAUACGUUCCCGGGCCUUGUACACACC